AGCCACCAGUGAGGUUUGAACUCACGACCCCUGGUUUACGAGACCAGUGCUCUAACCACUGAGCUAUGGUGGC
rnacentral:tRNA from 1 species